UACGAAGGGGGCUAGCGUUGCUCGGAAUUACUGGGCGUAAAGGGCGCGUAGGCGGCCUGCUAAGUCGGACGUGAAAUCCCUCGGCUCAACCGGGGAACUGCGUCCGAUACUGGCGAGGCUUGAAUCCGGGAGAGGGAUGUGGAAUUCCAGGUGUAGCGGUGAAAUGCGUAGAUAUCGUCAAGAACACCGAUAGCGAAGGCAGCUUACUGGGCUGUAACUGACGCUGAGGCACGAAAGUGUGGGGAUCAAACAGG
rnacentral:rRNA from 1 species